rnacentral:rRNA from 1 species
GUGCCAGCCGCCGCGGUAAUACGGAGGGUGCAAGCGUUAAUCGGAAUUACUGGGCGUAAAGGGCGCGUAGGCGGCGUGUCACGCCGGGUGUGAAAGCCCCGGGCUCAACCUGGGAAUGGCAUCCGGAACGGGCAGGCUAGAGUGCAGGAGAGGAAGGUAGAAUUCCCGGUGCAGCGGUGAAAUGCGUAGAGAUCGGGAGGAAUACCAGUGGCGAAGGCGGCCUUCUGGACUGACACUGACGCUGGGGUGCGAAAGCGUGGGUAGCAAACAGGAUU